GACGUAGGGGGCAAGCGUUAUUCGGAAUUAUUGGGGGUAAAGCGCUCGUAGGCGGGACAGGAAGUCCGUGAAGAAAGACCUGGGCUCAACUCAGGGACCGGCACGGAUACUCUUGUUCUUGAGGCAAUCAGAGGGUGAUGGAAUUCCCGGUGUAGCGGUGAAAUGCGCAGAUAUCAGGAGGAACACCAAUGGCGAAGGCAGCACUCUGGGACGUGACUGACGCUGAGACGCGAAAGCGUGGGGAGCAAACAGG
rnacentral:rRNA from 1 species